GACGUAGGGCGCGAGCGUUGUCCGGAUUUAUUGGGCGUAAAGAGCUCGUAGGCGGCUUGUCGCGUCGUCCGUGAAAACCUGCAGCUCAACUGCAGGCUUGCGGUCGAUACGGGCAGGCUAGAGUUCGGUAGGGGAGACUGGAAUUCCCAGUGUAGAGGUGAAAUUCGUAGAUAUUGGGAAGAACACCGGUGGCGAAGGCGGCGCUCUGGGCCUGACCUGACGCUGAGGAGCGAAAGCGUGGGGAGCGAACAGG
rnacentral:rRNA from 1 species